CCAGACUCCUACGGGAGGCAGCAGUGAGGAAUAUUGGUCAAUGGGCGUAAGCCUGAACCAGCCAAGUCGCGUGAGGGAUGAAGGAUCUAUGGUUCGUAAACCUCUUUUAUAAGGGAAUAAAGUGCGGGACGCGUCCCGCUUCGCAUGUACCUUAUGAAUAAGGAUCGGCUAACUCCGUGCCAGCAGCCGCGGUAAUACGGAGGAUGCGAGCGUUAUCCGGAUUUAUUGGGUUUAAAGGGUGCGCAGGCGGCGAGUUAAGUCAGCGGUAAAAUUUCGGGGCUCAACCCCGACAAGCCGUUGAAACUGGCUUGCUAGAGUGGGCGAGAAGUAUGCGGAAUGCGUGGUGUAGCGGUGAAAUGCAUAGAUAUCGCGCAGAACUCCGAUUGCGAAGGCAGCAUGCCGGCUCCACACUGACGCUGAGGCACGAAAGCGUGGGUAUCGAACAGGAUUAGAUACCCCAGUAAC
rnacentral:rRNA from 1 species